GUGGGUGUAGCUCAAUGGUAGAGUGCAUUCUUAGCUUGCAGAAGGUCCGAGGUCCUGGGUUCAAUCCCCAGUAUCUCCA
rnacentral:tRNA from 1 species